CCAUUCUAAAGUUAGGUUCAAUAACCUAGCAUCCUCCCAGCGCCUGUUUAGUCAUAAUAAUUGCUCAGGUAUGCUGGAUAUUGAAGACAGAGUUGAAAGAAUGGUUCACCAGUAGACACAGCAGGACAUGUGUGACCAGGAUCAGUUCAUUGUGGGGCCUAGAAUAAUGAAAGGUAGUGAGAGAGUACAUUCAAUCUGAGAUGAAAAGAUCUGGACUCAAGCCCUUGCUCUAUUACCUAUGAUCUUUGUGCUCUUUAACCAUCCUCCCCCUUUAUAGAUUAAUCAAAUAAGACUUGCCUCGUCUAUUUCACAGGCUUGUUUCAGAUACAGUGCAGAUGACCCUAGUGGCAGAUACUGUGGAUUGCCUACCCAAAAGACAUUCACAAGCCAUUUUCCCCUUGUCUUCCUGUGCCUAAAAUAAUUACAUUCCAAGGAUCUCUUGCAGCUAAGGCUGGCCACCAGAUUCAGUUUUGGCCAACGAGAGGUCAGGCAAGGGAGGCAGGCAGUCACUGAGUGAGCCUCCAGAAAAGUUAUGUACAAGAAGUAGAGUCCAUUGGCAUGCUGCCUUCAUUGCUUACC
rnacentral:lncRNA from 10 species